rnacentral:rRNA from 1 species
UGGCUCAGGAUGAACGCUGGCGGCGUGCUUAACACAUGCAAGUCGAACGGAGUUAUCAUUUUUGAAGCAAUUAGCUUGCUAAGAGUGGAGAUGUUGAUAACUUAGUGGCGGACGGGUGAGUAACGCGUGGGUAACCUGCCAUAUACUGGGGGAUAACACUUAGAAAUAGGUGCUAAUACCGCAUAAGCGCACAGUUUCGCAUGGGACAGUGUGAAAAACUCCGGUGGUAUAUGAUGGACCCGCGUCUGAUUAGCUAGUUGGCAGGGUAACGGCCUACCAAGGCAGCGAUCAGUAGCCGGCCUGAGAGGGUGGACGGCCACAUUGGGACUGAGACACGGCCCAAACUCCUACGGGAGGCAGCAGUGGGGGAUAUUGGACAAUGGGGGGAACCCUGAUCCAGCGACGCCGCGUGAGUGAAGAAGUAUUUCGGUAUGUAAAGCUCUGUCAGCAGGGAAGAAAAGAGACGGUACCUGACCAAGAAGCCCCGGCUAACUACGUGCCAGCAGCCGCGGUAAUACGUAGGGGGCAAGCGUUAUCCGGAAUUACUGGGUGUAAAGGGAGCGUAGACGGUUAAGUAAGUCUGGAGUGAAAGGCGGGGGCCCAACCCCUGGACUGUUCUGGAAACUAUUGAACUAGAGUGCAGGAGAGGUAAGCGGAAUUCCUAGUGUAGCGGUGAAAUGCGUAGAUAUUAGGAGGAACACCAGUGGCGAAGGCGGCUUACUGGACUGUAACUGACGUUGAGGCUCGAAAGCGUGGGGAGCAAACAGGAUUAGAUACCCUGGUAGUCCACGCCGUAAACGAUGAUUACUAGGUGUUGGUGGGUAUGGACCCAUCGGUGCCGCAGCAAACGCAGUAAGUAAUCCACCUGGGGAGUACGUUCGCAAGAAUGCAACUCAAAGGAAUUGACGGA